CCCCAGUGUAAGUUUCCGUUCCUAUUUGGUAACUUAUAACUAACUUUGAAUCAGUAAUUUCAUAUCUCACAUUGUGCUUGGUAUAGAUAUACAGCAUUGCAUCCAAACAAGUUGGUCCUAAUGAACAGGGAAUGGUUCAAGGAUGUCUCUCUGGAGUUAGCUCCAUGGCGCAAAUUGUUUCUCCCUUAAUAUUCAGUCCGCUCACAGCAUUAUUCUUGUCUGAAGAAGCACCCUUCUAUUUUCUUGGGUUUAGUAUAAUGUUCCUUGGCCUUG